GGACAUGUGGCUGUGUGUCCAAUCAUGAGUUUUUAUGAAGUGGUAAACCAAUGCUGUGUGUACAUGUGUCACCCCAGAACUGUAUAAAGGUGACUGCACUACUGCAAUAAAAAAGCAGCUGGUAUCCUGAAACCUAUGUCGCCCCCCGCCUCGACCGCGACAUAUGGUGAACCCACGUGAUUGCGAAGAAAGAUAGAAGAGAACUCGAUGACAAGAAGCGAACGAAGAAUCCCUCGGGCGGGACCUCGGGAAGCUGCUACCGGGAGGAUCAAGUGGCCGUUGGCCCCCCCGUUUCACUGCUUCUCAGCCCGAGAGAUGGCACGCUGCUGAGUUGCUUAUCGCUAUUACUGAGAACCUUUUCGCUGCUGUUGAGGCAUUGCCUUUGCUGUGCUCAGUUCACCACUGAAAAAACGGUUCAAGCACCAUGAAAUUGAAGCAAUCCAGUGUGAGGUUCACAAGAUGUGCAACUACACCAAGAUCCUGUCCACGAAGAAGAACCUGGAUCAUGUGAACAAGAUCCUGAAAGCCAAGCGGCUGCAGAGACAAUCAAAGUCAGGCAAUAACUUCAUCAAGAAGCGGAGGGGGUGUCCUCGGAAGGAACCCCUUUCCUUUGAUGAAGACUCCAAAGACCAAAUGCCCAUUCUGGAAAAAUGCAUUGACCUUCCCAGCAAAAGAGGUCAGAGACCAACACUCAACCCUUUAAUAUUAGAGCCAGCAGCCACUCAAGAUACAAUCAUGACCACCAUUGAGGCUGUCAUAAAUAUGGCUCGAGAGAUGCCUUCUCUCCCUCAUCCCCUUCCUCUGCCCUCUCCCUCCGCCCCGGAUGCUCUGGAAAAGAAAAAGCAAGUCCUCACAGGAGGAAGAGGAGGACAUGAAAGUGAGGUGGCACCAGAAAGACAGAGGGAGUGAAAGCGGAGGCCUUUCCUAAGCCAAGGAUCUCACAGCGCCGCCUCGUGACGGGCACUGGACAUCACAAGUUCUACUCUCCCAGUGAUCCAACAGCGCCACCUGGUGACUACAAUAGGACACUACAAGUUUUUGCACCUUCAGUGACCCAACAGCACCACCUGGUGAAUGGUACAGGACAUUACAAAUUUUGCAUCUCCAGUGACCCGACGGCGCCCCCUGCUGACUGUGGUUGGAACCGCACCAAAGGGUGCAAGAAACUGAACUAUUUUCCUUUUGCCGGUUUAUCAGUUUUGUUCUUGAAGGGGAUUAUUGGUGGUUAUAGGAGUAUUACUUAGUUAUUUUACUUGGGUUUUUUUCAUGUUCCUGUUAAUACACACAUACCUUUAAUAAAGGGCUGUUAUUUUCCCUUUUCCAUAAUUUGUUUUCCUUCAAUCGAAGCCUCUUAAUUUUGGAUUUAUAAUUACUUGGAAAGAGAAGUUUGGGUCUUUUCCUCCUAAUCCAUCCUCAGCAAAAGACCCUUGUCUCAUUUAAACUGGGACAUCCUGAUACUCAGGUCAAAUGGCUGAUCCAGACAAACAGAAAAACUUAUCAUUUGGCUGAAUAGAUUUUCUCAAUGAGUUCACUGCAGGGAGACACAAAUGUGGUACCAGGAAGGGGGAAAAGGAAAGAAGGAAGGUUUAAUUUGUCAUUACAGGAUCACAGUAACCCAGACUAGUAUCAAAUUAGCAAAUCUCCUGAAUUACUCUUAAUUAUUCU